CUGCAUUUUAUUCUGCUGGGUUUUCUCUGCGAGUGGAUUUCUUCUUUCAACUAACAAGCCUCAAAAUUAUUAUGCUGAGAAACUACAUGAUGGAGAGGAGGGAGAUAGGGGACAAAUGUCAAAGGCUUUGUCUGCCAGCCUCCGCUGUCACCUUGGAGAACGAAUGAAGCAGAUCUGGGACAUACGCUCAAAACAUUUUGGAGGAAGAACAAGCCUGGCACGUAAGGAUCUCAAGAGACUUCAACCAUUUGAAACAAUGGUUCUCUCUUCUCUCUUUUUCAUUUCAGGAGCCCAGAGCGGUGUACUACAUACUUGAGUUUCUCCUCACACCAACCCUGUGAAGUCGGUUAGGCAC